rnacentral:rRNA from 1 species
CCUACGGGAGGCAGCAGUGGGGAAUAUUGCACAAUGGGGGAAACCCUGAUGCAGCGACGCCGCGUGAGUGAAGAAGUAUUUCGGUAUGUAAAGCUCUAUCAGCAGGGAAGAAAUAAAGUCCUUCGGACUUUGGACGGUACCUGACUAAGAAGCCCCGGCUAACUACGUGCCAGCAGCCGCGGGAGUACGUAGGGGGCAAGCGGUAUCCGGAUUUACUGGGUGUAAAGGGAGCGUAGACGGCAGCGCAAGUCUGGAGUGAAAUCCAAUGGCUUAACCAUGGCACUGCUUUGGAAACUGUGCAGCUGGAGUGCAGGAGAGGUAAGCGGAAUUCCUAGUGUAGCGGUGAAAUGCGUAGAUAUUAGGAGGAACACCAGUGGCGAAGGCGGCUUACUGGACUGUAACUGACGCUGAGGCUCGAAAGCGUGGGGAGCAAACAGGAUUAGAUACCCCUGUAGUC